UUCCUACGGGGGGCAGCAGUAGGGAAUCUUCCACAAUGGGCGAAAGCCUGAUGGAGCAACGCCGCGUGGGUGAAGGAGCACCUCGGUGCGUAAAGCCCUAUCGGCAGGGAAGAAACAGACGGUACCUGACUAAGAAGCCCCGGCUAACUACGUGCCAGCAGCCGCGGUAAUACGUAGGGGGCAAGCGUUAUCCGGAUUCACUGGGUGUAAAGGGAGCGUAGACGGCGACGCAAGUCUGGAGUGAAAGCCCGGGGCCCAACCCCGGGACUGCUCUGGAAACUGCGGCGCUUGAGUACGGGAGGGGG
rnacentral:rRNA from 1 species